rnacentral:rRNA from 1 species
UACGGGGGGGGCAAGCGUUGUUCGGAAUUACUGGGCGUAAAGGGCGCGUAGGCGGUCAGACCAAGUCGAGUGUGAAAUUCCAGGGCUUAACUCUGGCACGCUCGCUCGAUACUGGUCGGCUAGAGUGUGGAAGAGGAUGCUGGGAUUCCCGGUGUAGCGGUGAAAUGCGUAGAUAUCGGGAGGAACACCAGUGGCGAAGGCGGGCAUCUGGGCCAACACUGACGCUGAGGCGCGAAAGCUAGGGGAGCAAACAGG